ACACAGGGUGUAACAGGACUUUUUGACAUUUUUACAUUUAACUACAAUGUAAAAAUAUCAAAUAGUCCAGUUACACCCCGUAU